AUGACUCUCAUCACCAUCCUCAUCUGGACGCUGGCCUGCUGCUGCUUCACAGGAUGCAGUGGUCAGGUGACUGUGACUCAGCCUCCAGUAAAGACAUCUACUCCAGGAUCCAUUGUCACUAUGACCUGUAAGAUCAGCCAAGAUGUAGGAGGUUGUAGUGGUGGUCAGUGUAUGUCCUGGUAUCAGCAGAAAUCUGGACAACCUCCAAAGCUCCUGAUAAAAUCUGGAAGCACACGUGCAUCAGGAACACCUGCUCGGUUUAGUGGCAGUGGAAGUGGUUCUGACUUCUCUUUGACCAUCAGUGGAGUUCAGACUGAAGAUGCAGCAGUUUACUACCGUAAGAGUAUUCAUGUCAUAAACAGUGCUGAUGUGUUCACACAGUGAUUUGUCGUUGUACAAAAACCUCCCUCAGUCAGACUGCAGAGACUCUGAGCUGUUACAGCAGGAACCGACUGUAGCUGGUGAAGAAGAAGAGACUCUGACACAGACCACUGAACACAGAGCUGACAGUAACCUCACCAAGCACUCAACACAC